rnacentral:misc_RNA from 1 species
CUCUUGUUAUUUCAUUCUCAUUGUCCAAAAUGAAGAAUUGAAAAGUUGUAAAGAAUCGUUGAUAUUAUAUUAUCAAGAACUUUUUCUAAUUGUUUAGAAACUUCUAGCAUCAUUCUGAGGAAAAUUAAACGUACUGUAUUGUUUGUAGCCACAUUCAAGGGUUACCAUGGCUUAUAGUACUAAACCAGAAGAGAUGGUGUUCCAACCAAUUCAGUUGGAAGAAGAAAAUGGACUCGUGAAAGAUAAUAAAAAGACAAACAAACGGUUAUCAGUAGAAAGAAUAUACCAGAAGAAAACACAGUUGGAACACAUUUUGCUCCGCCCAGAUACAUAUGUAGGAUCUGUGGAACCUAUAACUCAGUCCAUGUGGGUGUAUGAUGAUGAAGUAUCAGGGAUGGUGAAUAAAGAAAUCACAUUUGUGCCAGGCUUAUAUAAGAUUUUUGAUGAAAUCUUGGUGAAUGCUGCUGACAAUAAACAGAGAGACAAAAACAUGGACUGCAUUAAAAUUGAUAUAGAUCCGCAGGCUAACAAGAUUAGCAUCUGGAAUAAUGGAAAAGGAAUACCUGUUGUUGAACACAAAGUGGAAAAGAUGUUUGUUCCAUCCCUCAUUUUUGGUCAUCUUCUGACAUCUUCAAACUACAAUGAUGAGGAAAAGAAAGUCACGGGUGGUCGAAAUGGAUAUGGUGCAAAGCUGUGUAACAUUUUCAGUAAGAAGUUUGUUGUAGAAACUUCAAGUAAGGAGUACGGAAAAUCUUUCAAGCAGACAUGGACAGACAACAUGAUGAAAACUACUGAUGCUAAAAUAACACCUUUUCAUGGAGAAGAUUUUACUCGAAUAACUUUUUAUCCAGACCUGGCUAAGUUUAAAAUGGAAAUGUUGGACAAUGACACUGUUGCAUUUUUAUCUAGACGGGCUUACGAUAUUGCUGGCAGUACAAGAGGAGUCAAAGUACAUUUGAAUGGAAAAAGAUUACCAGUAAAAAGUUUUAAAGAUUAUGCAGAACAGUAUGUCAAAGGUAAAGAAGACGAACAAGGUAAUCCAUUGAAAAUAGUUUAUGAAAAUGUGAACGAACGUUGGGAAGUAGCCAUUACACUCAGUGACAGGGGUUUUCAACAUGUCAGCUUUGCUAAUAGUAUUGCUACUACCAAGGGUGGAAGACAUGUUGAUUAUGUUGCUGAUCAGAUUGUGAACAAGCUGGUGGAAGUAGUGAAGAAGAAAAACAAAGGUGGUGUACAGGUUAAACCUUUUCAGAUCAAGAACCACAUGUGGAUUUUUGUCAAUUGUCUCAUUGAAAAUCCAACUUUUGACUCUCAAACAAAAGAGAACAUGACAUUGCAAGUUAAGAGUUUUGGCUCAAAGUGUCAGCCAAGUGAAAAGUUUUUGAAUCAGGUCAUGAAGUGUGGUAUUGUGGAAUCAAUUAUGACAUGGGUUCGAUUUAAAGCUCAGACACAGCUAAACACAAAAUGUAGUGCUAAAAAGCAUUCCAAACUAAAAGGGAUCCCCAAGCUAGAAGAUGCCAAUGAUGCAGGUACCAAAAAUUCCAUUGACUGUACGCUCAUCCUUACUGAAGGAGAUUCGGCCAAAUCUUUGGCCGUGUCCGGUCUAAGUGUGAUUGGUCGAGAUAAGUAUGGAGUUUUUCCACUGAGAGGCAAAAUGCUGAAUGUUAGAGAAGCAACACAUAAGCAGAUUCUGGAAAAUGCUGAGAUUAACAACAUUAUUAAAAUCAUGGGUCUUCAGUACAAAAAGAAGUAUGAAAGCAUAGAGGAUUUACGUACCUUACGAUAUGGUCGACUCAUGAUCAUGACCGACCAAGAUCAAGAUGGAUCACAUAUAAAAGGGUUGCUUAUAAACUUCAUUCAUCAUAAUUGGCCGAGUUUACUUCACCUACCUUUUCUUGAACAGUUUAUAACUCCAAUAGUCAAGGCUGUAAAGGGAAAGGAAGAAAAAAGUUUCUACAGUUUGCCAGAAUUUGAAGAAUGGAAAACUCAAAUUUCCAAUUGGAACACUUGGAAGAUCAAGUACUACAAAGGUCUUGGUACCAGCACAGCAAAGGAAGCCAGAGAAUAUUUUGCUGACAUGGCACGGCAUCGAAUCAAGUUUAAGUAUGAAGGUUCUGAUGAUGAUAGUGCUAUCCAGCUGGCUUUCAGUAAGAAGAUGGUUGAACAGAGAAAGGAAUGGCUUACCAAUGGAAUGGAAGAAAGGAAACACCGUCGGGAGUUGGGGCUGCCUGAGUUGUAUGUUUAUGGAAAAGCUACAAGCCACUUAACGUUCAAUGACUUCAUCAACAAAGAGCUUAUUUUGUUUAGUAACAUGGACAAUGAACGAUCUAUUCCUUCCCUUGUUGAUGGUUUGAAACCAGGACAGAGGAAGGUGAUUUUCACUUGCUUCAAAAGGAAUGAUAAACGUGAAAUUAAAGUUGCUCAAUUCGCAGGAUCUGUGGCAGAGCUUUCUGCUUAUCAUCAUGGAGAGAACUCUCUAAUGGCAACCAUUAUCAACUUGGCACAAAACUUUGUUGGUAGCAACAACAUCAACUUGUUGCAACCCAUUGGACAGUUUGGCACUCGACUGCAGGGUGGAAAGGAUUCUGCCAGCCCUCGAUACAUUUUUACGAUGCUCAGUCCUUUGGCAAAGCACAUUUUUUCUUCUCUUGAUGAGCCUCUUUUGAAUCAUCUCUAUGAAGACAACCAGAAGAUUGAACCUGAGUUUUAUGUUCCCAUAAUCCCUAUGAUCUUGGUGAAUGGAGCAGAAGGUAUUGGAACAGGAUGGAGCACUAAGAUCCCAAACUAUAAUCCCAGAGAAAUAGUAGAGAAUCUCCGUAGAAUGAUUGUUGGAGAGGAACCAAAACUCAUGAAACCAUGGUUCAAAAAUUUCCGUGGCUCAAUAGAACAGUUAGACAGCCAGCGUUUUGUAAUAAGUGGUGAGGUAGCUAUCUUGGGAACAAACAAGUUGGAGAUAACAGAGUUACCAGUUCGUACGUGGACUCAGUCUUACAAAGAACAAGUUCUGGAGCCAAUGGUUCACGGUACAGAGAAGACAAAGCCCAUAAUAAUAGAUUACAAGGAGUAUCACACUGACACCACUGUAAAGUUUCUGAUAACGAUAAAUGAGGACAAACUUGCUGAACUUGAACACCAAGGUCUACACAAAGUCUUUAAGCUUCAGUCCACUGUAAAUACAACAUCAAUGGUACUGUUUGAUCAUACCGGUGUUCUUAGGAAAUACGAAUCUCCUCAAGAGAUUCUGACAGAGUUUUUUACUGUUCGACUUGAGUAUUAUGCAAAACGAAAGGCAUACCUUGAGGGUAUGUUUGGUGCAGAAACAAAUAAGCUUGAAAAUCAAGCUCGGUUCAUCCUGGAGAAGAUUGAAGGAAAAGUUGUUGUAGAAAACAAGAAAAAGGUAGACUUGAUACGCACACUUGUGGAGCGUGGAUAUGACUCUGAUCCUGUAAAAGCAUGGAAGAAAGCUGCUUUGAAACAACAGUUAGAGAAGGAGGGGACAAUGAUGGAUGAAUCUGAGAGCAGUGAUGAUGAAGAAGGAGAAGCUGCAGGUCCAGAUUUUGAUUAUCUUCUUGGUAUGAACAUGUGGAGUCUCACAAAAGAAAAAAAAGAUGAAUUGUUGAAAAAGAGGGAUGAAAAGAGGAAAGAGUUAGAAGAUCUCAAACAAAAGUCUCCUGCAGACUUGUGGCAAAGUGAUCUUCAGAGCUUCAUGGAGGAACUAGAUAAAGUGGAGAAGAAAGAAAAAGAAGAUGAAGAAGCUGGAAUUUCAGGCAAUGUGAUGAAAGCAGCCCAUAAACAAGGUGGUGGAAAGUCCCGUCCAAAGAAGAUGGCAUUAGAAGAGACAAAACCAUCUCCAAUGAGCCAGCGAAUAAUUCCUCAUAUUGAUCCAGAACUUCGCAAAAAAGUCGAGAAACCGGCUGGAGGAGCUGGAGAAGUAAAAAAAAGAGGGAGAAUGAAGAAAGAAGCUGAUGGAGAAUUUAAUAAAGAAGAAGAUGAUGAGCCAAUGCCUCUUGCUGAAAGAAUUGGCAAUUCUCCUGAGAAAUAUGAACAAGCAAAGGCAAAGAAAACAUUAAAGCAGCAAAUUAAACCUAGCCCAAAGAAGUCACUCUCAUCUAAAAAGAAAGGACCAAAAAGAAACCCAUGGUCAGCUUCAGAAUCUGAACCUAGCUCAUCUGAAGAAUCAGAUGUAGAAGCUAGUGACUAUAUACCACCAGAGAAGAGAACCACUGCUCCAAGACGAGCUGCAGCUUCAAAGGCAAAAUAUAACUUUGACAGUGAAGAAGAAGAGGAGGAGCACGAGAAUUUUAAGCCAAAUUAUGGAGCUUUUGAAGAUGAUAUUGACCGUAUUCGCUUAGAUCUAGAUGGAAUCAGCGAGGAAGAUGAACCUCCCAGUAGAACAAAGACCAAAACAAUAAAAAAGUAGGAAGUCUCAGCCAGAACCUCACAGAGAGGAAAAAACAAAUGAAAAUCAAAAUGGAAGAUCAACACCUGAAAUGAUUAUAUCAGACAGUGAAGACAGUUUUGAUGCCCCACCAUCCAGGACCACCAAAAAAACAGAUGAUACUGUUGGUGGAGAUAAAGAUGGGCUCUUUGAUUCUUUAUUGGGAGGAUCUUCUCCAGAUAAAAAACCU